CGCUCGAUCUCCUCCCUCGCUUCGCCCUUCCCUCCCCUCGAUCUGAAUCCUCCCCUGAACCCAGAACUCCAUCGCCGCGGCCCGCUCUCCUGUCCAUCUCCAUCGCCGCGGAGGAGGAGAUCCAGGCGGAGCGCUCCGCUAUCUCCAUCGCCGCGGCCCGCCCUCCUGUCCGCGUCUCCCGCGGCUGCUCCUCUGGCAGGAGGAGCAGCCCGAAGGCCGCCUCUACAGCAGCAGCAACAGCGGAAUCACAUCCCACAGGCACCAAAAGGCGGUCGGAAGGAGGUGAGCGGCCACCACCGACACACUCGCCGCUGACGCCGGCGGCGACGAACGGAUCCUGGCCGUCCCCGUCUCCUUCACAUCAGAUCCGUCAAGGUCCAGUGGACGACAUCAUGGGUGGCGAGCGGAUGGGCACGGAGCCACGGACGCACACCUCUACGGCGACCCCAAUGCCGCCUUCAUCUCGGCGCUCCUCGCAUCCCGCUACGAUGGCGACAAGUUCGACGCACUGAAACACCUCCUCACCCUCAUCGCGCAAGACCUUGAUGUCUCCUACCUCUUCCGGCAGGCGGUCAAGAACAUGGUGGCCCAGUCGCUUGAGCUGAAGACGCUCGUCCCGUCUACAAGUUCGUUCGUUGACUUUUCGGCCGUCGGAUCCAACACCGUGCCGCUGUGUGUGUCCCGUCCAUUAAUUGGGUGAGAAUACUCGCAGGUCUACAAGUCAUGGGUGUUGGAUUUACUGAGUCACUCGCUAGCUCAUGCCCAAAACAUGGUGACCACAGAGGAAUUCACGUGAUGGAUAUAUUCUCAGAACAAUCAGUCUUUGCAUUCUAAAGAGCUAAAGGAAGCAGAAUGGGCAGUGAGAAAGCAUCCAGGAAGGAGAAGUCAUCGCAUUAAGCAUAAUGAUCAUAUUUGUUUCCAUCUUAUAACAUCAUGGAAGAAGGGUGACUUAUAUUCCACCCGAUCAUGCAAGAGUGUUACCGAGAAUAUAAGCUAGGCCUAAAAGAUGGAGAAGCCUACACAGACUCCGGUUCUGCUUCCACUGUCAUGGGUUUGUCAUUCGGGACACUUGCCAUCGGGUUGCGGAUCCGCAUGCCCUGCCUCUGUUCGAUCCCGCUGGGGCAAUGACAUAGCGGAGAGUACAGAAGAGUGCGAUCUGGUGCUGCCUGUGUUAGAUGGAUGAGCUGGUGCCUCACGGCGCGGGCACCACGGUGGUUCAGCCUCAAGUGCAACCUCUGUCUGGGUACGCAUCCUCCUUGCCGAGCUCAAGCUCAAGAAGUACCUCUGGGGUCUCCACAACACCAACAUCAACGGGCUGGCUUGUUCGUGUUCUUCUGGUGCUGCUCAAUCCGCCAGUCGCAUCCAAUUAUGCAUUGGACAGCUCAACAAUUUGAUUAUGAGUCUAUUCUGGUGCACAUCCGGUCGAUGAUUUCUAAGGAUAUACAAAUAUUCUAAUAUUUGUAGAGGGCUAACGAAAAGACUCAUGCUUCAAGUGCCAAGAAUAUCAUUUCUUGCAAGAUAAGGUUAGUGCCUUCUAAUAUUUAUUCUUUUGGAAGUCAGUGCCUUCUUAAGGUGAUAUUUUUAGAAGUUGGAUUCAUCAAUUUCUGUAGCAUGUGUUGGCCCUUUAUACAAUUUUUUGUCUGUUUCCUCUUUAUCAUGAUGUCCUGGAAAUGAACUCAUGUGCUACGUUGUCUGUAUUACUUUGUUAUUUUAGUGAAUUUGUUACUCCAUUCGGGGAUUUUAAUGUAAAAACACAUGCGUAGAGCUUGGAGAGCAGAGCACUCGGGUGCGAUGGGUUGAUUGAUUCUAUAGUAGGUUUUGUUUGUACACCUAAGAUGUAUAAGAGCAGGUUCCUAUUCUAGCCCUGUGUAAUAUUCAUGCAUGGAGAAAUACCCCAUAAUACAUGGAUAAAAAGAAAAGAAAUAGCUCAGGAUACAGCUAGAUAUGCCAUUCUUUCUUGCAAUAUGCACUUCAAUUUUGGUGUGGCUUAAAUGUUCAACACUUUAAACAGUUCAGUAGAGCAGAAAGACUUGCAUGGGUUCCUUGAGAAGAUUUACAUGGAGAAGUGUUGCUUCUAUUAAAAAUGAAUGUUUAUUCUUUCUUUUAUUUCAUUAAUCGAAUACAUAUGCUAAACGAGGAUUUCUACUAAUAUGAACAUUACUUGCUUGAUCACAUCGUUGGGACCGGCAUCCUCGCGCCAAGGCGUGAUCCUGAUCUCCAUGUAAAUCUUCCCCUGCUCCCCCGCCGCGUCAAAUGCCUCCGCCGCAUCCGCUUCCCCAGCGCCCCUCCUCAUCAGCGGCGGCCGAGGAUAGCGACUGCCAGAUCACAGGGGUGGCGGGCCCUAACCGGCCCAGGGGCGUGCCCAGGAAGAGGGAUGCCAGAGUGCCGAGCCAGGUCCAUGGUGACCACGUCAAGGCCGUUCCGCCAAGGGGGAGGCUGAGAGCAAGUUGGCCAAGGAGCUCAGGAGGGAGCUGGAGUGUACCUUGAACCAGAUGAAUGACUUGGUGCGCAUCUUACUAGCCACUUAUUGUUAUUGGUCCAUAUACUCCCUGCCCCUGUGCUCUGGCUUCUACUCGCAAAUAUCUAUUGUUGCAAAAAUGCAUGUUAGAUUUAGAUGUCAUAUGAAUCAUUUAAUGAAUCUUUAAUGAGUUGAGAUAUCUUCUCGAAGAAUAUCAUUUUUUUCUUCUCUUCCUGGGCCAGCGUUACACAACUUCUCUUGGAGCAAUGAGGAACUUCAACCAUUCUUGGCGAAGGAAAAUUGAAGACUCUGGUAGAUGUAUUAGUUAGCGUGGACUUUUAUAAUCUUUAAAAUUCAUGCGGACUGCUAUCUAAGUGUCACUAGCCUUCUGUAUAAAUACUUCACUUUCAGUAUUUUGUACUAUCUCGCUGCCCUAUGCGCUACUGGUCUCUUUUGAUAUAAAUGACAUGCUUUAAUUGUUAUUAACGGCUUUUGAUCUGCAGAAUGCAAAACUUUCUAUGUAAAUGACUUGUUGUAAUCCUGAUCUACUAAAUGUUG